rnacentral:rRNA from 1 species
ACGCACGCUGGCGGCGUGCUUCACACCUGCCAGUCGAACGGAAAGGCCCUGCUUUUGUGGGGUGCUCGAGUGGCGAACGGGUGAGUAACACGUGAGUAACCUGCCCUUGACUUUGGGAUAACUUCAGGAAACUGGGGCUAAUACCGGAUAGGAGCUCCUGCUACAUGGUGGGGGUUGGAAAGUUUCGGCGGUUGGGGAUGGACUCGCGGCUUAUCAGCUUGUUGGUGGGGUAGUGGCUUACCAAGGCUUUGACGGGUAGCCGGCCUGAGAGGGUGACCGGCCACAUUGGGACUGAGAUACGGCCCAGACUCCUACGGGAGGCAGCAGUGGGGAAUAUUGCACAAUGGGCGGAAGCCUGAUGCAGCAACGCCGCGUGCGGGAUGACGGCCUUCGGGUUGUAAACCGCUUUCGCCUGUGACGAAGCGUGAGUGACGGUAAUGGGUAAAGAAGCACCGGCUAACUACGUG